rnacentral:rRNA from 1 species
UACGAAGGGGGCUAGCGUUGCUCGGAAUUACUGGGCGUAAAGCGCACGUAGGCGGUCUUUUAAGUCGGGGGUGAAAUCCUGGAGCUCAACUUCAGAACUGCCUUCGAUACUGGAAGACUUGAGUCCGGGAGAGGUGAGUGGAACUGCGAGUGUAGAGGUGAAAUUCGUAGAUAUUCGCAAGAACACCAGUGGCGAAGGCGGCUCACUGGCCCGGUACUGACGCUGAGGUGCGAAAGCGUGGGGAGCAAACAGG